rnacentral:rRNA from 1 species
CCUUCGGGAGGCAGCCAUUGGGGAAUUUUGGCCAAUGGGCGAAAGCCUGAUUCCAGCCAUGCCCGCGUGUGUGAAGAAGGCCCUCGGGUUGUAAAGCACUUUCAGUGAGGAAGAAUGCUUGUGGGUUAAUACCCCGCAAGAAGGACAUCACUCACAGAAGAAGCACCGGCUAAUUCCGUGCCAGCAGCCGCGGUAAUACGGAGGGUGCGAGCGUUAAUCGGAAUUACUGGGCGUAAAGCGCGCGUAGGCGGCUUGAUAAGCCGGUUGUGAAAGCCCCGGGCUCAACCUGGGAACGGCAUCCGGAACUGUCAGGCUAGAGUGCAGGAGAGGAAGGUAGAAUUCCCGGUGUAGCGGUGAAAUGCGUAGAGAUCGGGAGGAAUACCAGUGGCGAAGGCGGCCUUCUGGACUGACACUGACGCUGAGGUGCGAAAGCGUGGGUAGCAAACAGGAUUAGAUACCCUGGUAGUCCACGCCGUAAACGAUGUCGACUAGCCGUUGGGGUCCUCGAGACCUUUGUGGCGCAGUUAACGCGAUAAGUCGACCGCCUGGGGAGUACGGCCGCAAGGUUAAAACUCAAAUGAAUUGACGGGGGCCCGCACAAGCGGUGGAGCAUGUGGUUUAAUUCGAUGCAACGCGAAGAACCUUACCUACCCUUGACAUCGAGCGAACUUUCCAGAGAUGGAUUGGUGCCUUCGGGAACGCUCAGACAGGUGCUGCAUGGCUGUCGUCAGCUCGUGUUGUGAAAUGUUGGGUUAAGUCCCGUAACGAGCGCAACCCUUGUCCCUAUUUGCCAGCGAUUCGGUCGGGAACUCUAGGGAGACUGCCGGUGACAAACCGGAGGAAGGUGGGGACGACGUCAAGUCAUCAUGGCCCUUACGGGUAGGGCUACACACGUGCUACAAUGGCCGGUACAGAGGGUGGCAAUACCGCGAGGUGGAGCUAAUCUCAAAAAGCCGGUCUCAGUCCGGAUCGGAGUCUGCAACUCGACUCCGUGAAGUCGGAAUCGCUAGUAAUCGUGAAUCAGAAUGUCACGGUGAAUACGUUCCCGGGCCUUGUACACACCGCCCGUCACACCAUGGGAGUGGACUGCACCAGAAGUGGUUAGCCUAACUUCGGAGGGCGAUCACCCCGGGUGUCGGGGCGGU